ACCACUCACUCACCCCGGUCCACGGUUCCACACACGAGCCUCCGUUGCCGUACACCUGUGACGCGAUAAGAGGAUAUCCCGUUUAUAUACAUAUAGAGAGAGAAAAUCACCGAUUGUUCUAGAGAGAGAAACUCCGUCUCAGACACACAGAGAAACUGCGAGAUCUGAUCGGAACUAAGGUAACUAUACUCCAAACCCUACUCUCUCUGCUUCGCCAACCUAACUUUCCUUUCAUCUUUUACGCACUUGUCCUCUCCGUCGAUUCGUGUUAAUUUUCGGGAUUUCACCGUUAAAAAGCCCUAAAGCUUCGAGGUUAUUCUUAUUCGUGUGAGAUUCGUUUUUUUUUUCUCGACCGUAAAACCCUAGGGUUGGAGUCUAGGGUUUGGAAUUGGUGUUCGGUGAAGAUUGAAGGUUGAGGGAAAAAUAAUUAGGGUUUUGGAUGUAUGGCUUCGGGGCCUAUAGUUGGAGAUGAUGAAGCAAGAGAGAAAAAGAGAUACACAGAGAGCAAAGUAUACACCAGAAAGGCCUUUAAAGGUCCCAAGAACAAAGGUAACGUGUUGAACGCCGUUCCUCUUCCUCCUCUUCCUCCUCCUCCUCCUCCUCCCCCCUCCGCCGCUCCUUCCAUCACAACUACUACCAACGGCGACAACGCUACCGCCACUGUUGCUUCCACCACUGACAACAAUAAGGAUAACAGCACUGUCGAGAAUGGUAACGAUGGGGUCAAGGAUAAUGGAAAUAACGUCUCGGUUCAGCCGCCGGCUCCGGUGACGGUACUGGAGGACGGGAAUUCAGCUCGGCCGCAAGAGAAUUCGAGUUUGGAAGUGCUUUCCGAUGACACUUGUAGCCUGAACCGUCGGCAGGAUGAGCCUUCGAGUCUCCAUGUUGAGCAGGACAAUAGUCCAGGCAUCCGAGACUCCUCUCCGGGGAACUGUGCUCCGGAGCAGGGGGUGGAGAAUCGUGUUAAGAUUAGCUUGGCUACGCGGUCAAAGCAGGAGAUGCGGGAGCUUAGGAGAAAGCUUGAGAGCGAGCUUGACAUGGUGAGAAAUUUGGUGAAUAGGAUUGAAGAGAAGCAGGGGCUGGUUCAUGGGUUUGGUAAUUCAAGUAUAUUAGUGGAGCAUAGGAUUGAUAAUGGGGAUGGAGCUAAGUGUCCUCACUCGGAGGUAGCGUCGAUUGCACUUUCACGGGAGCCCACCCGGCCUUUGAAUCAGUUAAGUGUAUCGGUCUUGGAGAACAGCCAAGGAGUCAGUGAAAUUGUUGAGAAGGAGAAGCGGACGCCCAAGGCAAACCAGUUCUAUCGCAACUCUGAGUUCUUGCUAGCAAAAGAUAAGUUUCCGCCUGCGGAGAGUAACAAGAAGUCAAAAUUGAAUGGGAAGAAGCAUGGUGCAGGAGAAAUGGGACAUGGACAUGGCAUGGGAUCCAAGCUUUUAAAGAGUUGUAGCUCAUUGCUUGAAAAGUUGAUGAAACACAAGCAUGGUUGGGUGUUUAAUGCUCCAGUUGAUGUUGAGGGUCUUGGUUUGCAUGAUUAUUUUACCAUCAUCACGCAUCCAAUGGACUUGGGUACUGUGAAGUCAAGGCUGAACCAGAAUUGGUACAAAUCACCCAAGGAGUUCGCAGAGGAUGUGAGACUCACAUUUCGGAAUGCCAUGACUUAUAAUCCUAAAGGGCAAGAUGUUCAUGUAAUGGCAGAGCAGCUAUCAAAGUUAUUUGAGGAUAGAUGGGCUAUAAUAGAGUCAAAUUACAAUCGUGAAAUGAGAUAUGGCCUAGAUUAUGGGCCAGCUAUCCCUACACCUUCACCUCUGUCUAGAAAGGCUCCUGCAUUUCGCCCCCCACCUAUUGAUAUGAGAUGGAUUUUAGAUAGAUCAGAAUCAAUGACGCAACCUCCAAAAAUCCUGAGCAUUACUCCUUCCUCUCGAACCCCUGCACCAAAAAAGCCCAAGGCAAAAGAUCCUCAUAAAAGAGACAUGACAUAUGAGGAAAAGCAAAAACUUAGCACAAAUCUUCAGAGUCUACCUUCUGAGAAGCUAGAUGCAAUUGUACAGAUCAUUAAGAAGAGAAAUUCGGCACUUUCCCAACAUGAUGAUGAAAUUGAAGUGGACAUCGAUAGUGUGGAUGCUGAGACUCUCUGGGAGCUUGACAGAUUUGUGACCAACUAUAAGAAAAGUUUGAGCAAAAACAAGAGGAAGGCUGAACUUGCUAUUCAAGCUAGAGCACGAGCUGAGCAGAAUGCCCAACUGAAGAGCCAGCUGCCAGUUAUGGUAGAGGUUCAGAAAGAAACACAAACAGAUGAGAGAAAUGUUCCCUCAUCCAUGCCUGUAGAAGGGCAAAUUCAAGUCGAUAAUGGGAGUAAGACAAGUAGUUCAAGCAGUUCAAGCAGCGAUUCUGGCUCUUCUUCAAGUGAUUCUGAUAGUGAUAGUUCCUCUUCAUCUGGUUCUGAUGCUGGGUCUCAAAGAACAUGAAUACAUUCUGUCAGGUAGGAUAGCAAUAUCCAAAGAUUUAUUUCGCUUUUUGUCUGGUAUGCUUUUGGCAUCAUGCGUUUUGUACUAACUGUUCUAAAUAUUUCGUGUGACACAAAUCUUUCAAGAUGAUUUUUCUUUAACUAUCAUGAUUCGGUUGCUCAUAAAUGUACAUACUGGCAUAUCAUGGAUGUAUGGUUGAGUGCAUUUCUGGUGCCCCAUACUUGUUUUUGGCAUUUACUGUUUACUUACCCAUUUGAGCUGAAUUUAUCUUCAUAUGGAAAUAUACAAAAUUAAGACAAUCAUAUGUUACAGGUUCAAUAAUUAUUCAAUUUAAAAUUGAAUGCUGUGUCCAGUGGUUAGUUUUGGAAUGUAGCGUUGCCUUUAGAAAGACACCUUGCGUUUUAUGCAGUUUUAGCAGGAAAUAUGUCAUUUUUUAUUAAUUUGAUAUGUAUUCAUUUACUGUUAUCUUCUCUUUUGUUAGUUCUUAGUUGUUAAAAUGGUAGAUGUGUACCUUUUUGCAGGACUGCAUUUUCUUUAUUGCCUUGUCCUUUUAUAUUCACUCUACUUGUAGAAAGCACGUUGUAUUGGCAAAGCCUAUGCCUUAUCCAUUUAAGAAGUGCUGAUGUUUCAUUUUUCUGGUUAUGGUUAAUUGUGCUAGGAAUUGUGACAGUGGCUUCUGUUAAAAUGCUUUCUUCUGUCUCUGAUCCCUCAAAACUGAGCUUUCUAAACUGGUGUGUGUGUGAAUCUUCAUUGUCACAUGCUUAUAGAGAUCUCAGAAAUUAGAUUAGAUAGUGAUGCGAUGCUUGCCUUGUUGGUAUUUUCACGCUUCCAGAUGUUGGCUCUUAAUUUAGCAUUUGAUCAUACAGGGAGCAUUCUCAAGGCCGCGUGUGACCUACUGAUACAGUAUGGGAUCUUUUCGUCUCGUCUGUUGGAUCUUUUGCACGGUUGCUAUUCAUGGCCUUAUUUGUGAUAACACAAAUUCGUGUAAAAUAUUUGGUAGAAUGUGAUGAUAGUUAGAUAGUUUUGCGUAGCAGUGUACAUUGCUAACUACUGCUACUCUCCUUUAGCUCCAUUGAUGACUUGUUCUUAUUUUGUGCUGGCUGAUUCGGAAUUCUUGUAUUUUACAAAGAUAAUCUGUAGGAUAUGUUUUUUAACGAUUACUAGGAGAUAUGCCUUUAACUCUUCCAUUAUUGGACUGGAAACAGCACGUUCUAACAGAUCUCAUACCUGGCAUUCAUUUGCCGUGCACUGUAGUUUAUU